GAAAAAUUAGUUUAUUUAAAACAUCAGAUUGUCAGACUGAAGAAAUUAAUUUGAUAUUUUUCU
rnacentral:tRNA from 1 species